AUUGAACGCUGGCGGCAUGCCUUACACAUGCAAGUCGAACGGCAGCACGGGAGCAAUCCUGGUGGCGAGUGGCGAACGGGUGAGUAAAGUAUCGGAACGUGCCCAGUCGUGGGGGAUAACGUAGCGAAAGUUACGCUAAUACCGCAUACGAUCUAUGGAUGAAAGCGGGGGGUCGCAAGACCUCGCGCGAUUGGAGCGGCCGAUAUCAGAUUAGGUAGUUGGUGGGGUAAAGGCUCACCAAGCCGACGAUCUGUAGCUGGUCUGAGAGGACGACCAGCCACACUGGGACUGAGACACGGCCCAGACUCCUACGGGAGGCAGCAGUGGGGAAUUUUGGGCAAUGGGCGAAAGCCUGAUCCAGCCAUGCCGCGUGCAGGAUGAAGGCCUUCGGGUUGUAAACUGCUUUUGUACGGAACGAAAAGGUUUGGCCUAAUAAGCUGAGCUCAUGACGGUACCGUAAGAAUAAGCACCGGCUAACUACGUGCCAGCAGCCGCGGUAA
rnacentral:rRNA from 1 species